rnacentral:lncRNA from 1 species
GCCAGGUGUCAUCUGAAACUGGCCCCUGGACACCAGGGACAGGAAGAGACCCAAGAAAGAGACCGGCCACUCCAGAUUGGUGGUGGCAGUUUUAAUAAGCAGAGGGAACUUGCUCAGGAGGCUUGCCUUGGAUGGCUUUAGGAUGGUAGAUCUCUGCACCUGCCCCGGCCAAAUCAGAAAAGAUUACAUGGAGCCCUUCACUGGGCUCAGUCACCGAUACUGUGCAGAGGGUCAGCACCACACAUUACCUGAAGGCUGUGUCCUUGGGGCAGCUUCUGGGAGCCUGGAAGGCCGGUUGAUCACAAAUCACAAGCACAAGGUGGGUGGCUGAGGGAGUGAGGAGACUUCCGCUGCCGAGGUUCAGCUCACUGGUCGACCUGCGGUCCUGUCUUUUUGAUGACCUCUUCCAGCAGUGUUGCUCAAUUCUUUGUAGAGGAUAUGUAUUUCUUGAAGCUUUGAGCAUCUUUUCUUUACCCCCAGGUUCUGAAAUGUUAUAAUUAUGAACUACUGUGUGUGCCUGUUUUUAUUUCUCGUGCUGCUUGCAGCAUUUGUGUACAUGAGGAUGGUCUCUUCCUUUUGUUCACUGGCUGUGGUCUGGCUUGAAUCAUACCAUCAAGGUUCUCAUUGGAGAGUGCAUUGGAAUACAUUUUCACUGAAUAUUGAAAAUUUUUUGAAACAAGAGAUCGACGACUAUAUUCAAAAUUUCGAACACAUUUUUCAACUCUUAACUGGCCAUUUAUUUUCACUUGAGAAACCUCCUGAAGAUUCAGCCUACUGA